UGCUCCUAGUACGAGAGGACCGGAGUGGACGAACCUCUGGUGUUCCGGUUGUCACGCCAGUGGCAUUGCCGGGUAGCUAUGUUCGGAAAAGAUAACCGCUGAAAGCAUCUAAGCGGGAAACUUGCCUCAAGAUGAGAUCUCACUGGGAACUUGAUUCCCCUGAAGGGCCGUCGAAGACUACGACGUUGAUAGGCUGGGUGUGUAAGCGUUGUGAGGCGUUGAGCUAACCAGUACUAAUUGCCCGUGAGGCUUGACCAUAUAACACCCAAACA
rnacentral:rRNA from 1 species